rnacentral:rRNA from 1 species
AUACGGAGGGUGCAAGCGUUGUCCGGAUUUAUUGGGUUUAAAGGGUGCGUAGGUGGUUUUUUAAGUCAGUGGUGAAAGCCUACAGCUUAACUGUAGAGGUGCCAUUGAAACUGGGAAACUUGAGUAUGGACGAGGUAGGCGGAAUUUGUGGUGUAGCGGUGAAAUGCAUAGAUACCACAAAGAACACCGAUAGCGAAGGCAGCUUACUAGGCCAUAACUGACACUGAGGCACGAAAGUGUGGGGAGCGAACAGGAUUAGAUACCCCAGUAGUCC